UGUUAAAACUUAUAUCAAUUUUUACUAUUAAAAACUAGUAUGUCUGACAAAAUAACCAAACAUUGACACGUGACGUGCCAUAUGUACCUCAUGCUAAGACCAAUUUUUAACAGUAGAAUAAAUGAAAUUUUUAGUA
rfam:Gossypium raimondii Chr03_contig_127, whole genome shotgun sequence.